rfam:Gossypium arboreum cultivar AKA8401 contig_2316_11, whole genome shotgun sequence.
AAUCCAUGCAUCAGACAUUUUCGCAGCAAUUCUUUAAACCUUUCCCAAGCUUCAUACAACGUCUCAUCCUCUGAUUGCCAAAAUGAUGUGAUGUCAUUUCUAAGCUU